AGGCCUGUAGCCCUAACUGGAUAGAGCGCCGGACUCCAAAUCCGGAGGAUGGGGGUUCGAGCCCCUCCAGGCCUGCCA
rnacentral:tRNA from 1 species